AGAUUCUUCUGUAUUAAUAGCCUCAGUGUUUGAAAGACUGACUGGCUAGUGGCUAUGCCGGGAGAGCACUUGACAUCUGGUCUCUCAGUAGCCUGUCAUCCAGAUUAGAGAACAUAUGGAUUCCCAACCUACACAGAAGAGCCACCACUGCUGCCAUGGAUUUUGUAAACAUACAAGGGGCUGCUGUGAGGUCAAAAGGGAGAGCUGCGAAUUGAUAGUGUGUUGGCCAUGAACCUGAGGAGCUUGCUGUGGCUGCAAUGAAUUGCCACGUAAAAGCAAGCAUCCUUUAAGUCCUGAGCAGCAUACUAGUCCCCACUCUCUAAGGAAAGGAUAAUAGAAGCAAGAAUAAUCAUCCAACAUUUUAUUUUCGUCAGAAAUUUGUGCAGUUGCUUUAGAUCAAAAAGAAGCCUGAGUUCCCUUUUGCUUUUGGCAUUAGGUGAAAUUUGGAACUGAAUCCUUUCCUUUGAAAAGGGAUGGGAACUUCCUCUAUGCUUUCCCUUUCACCCCAAGGAGACUGAAUCUCCUGACGUAUCAUGAUUUCAUGAGAGUGGUCCCAUGAGAGGAAUGGAGUAGGUCAUGGAAAGGGGAAACAGAAGUAACCUGGAGGAUGCAGUCCUGGAGGAUGCCUUACUUAGGACUCAUUGAUCUAUGGUAAUGCAGAACUGAGCAUUUAGGAUAUGAGAUAAGUGGUUGGCAAUAAUAGGGGAAGGGAACAAUGGUAUCUAGAGAAGUGAUAGGCUGCUCUUAACUUACAGGUCAAAAUUAAUACUGCAGGGGGGAUCAGUCUGCCUGGAUGAAGCAGGCACUGUGGAAGAGGAAAGAGGCGUAGAUCAUUUUUAUAACUUCUGCCCACUCUCUCAAUAGAUAUUAGCUAUGAGGCACAAAUGUGUGGAAUUGCUGAGACUGUUCUGGGCAGAAAGCUCUUUGUUGCUGGUGUACAAAUCCCCACAACUUAAGUGUUGCUUGAGUAAUUAAAGCUAUGAAGCUUUUCAUUCAUUUUCUCAGAGGACAGCAAAAGGACUCUGAAAAGGUCUUGUAUGGUUCACAGUACCUCUUGAGGCAAAACUGAUGAUUGUACCCAAGGUGACUUGCUUGGAAACAGAGGAAGCCAUAACACAAGCCACUAAAUUUACUGCAUCCUUCCUUCCUUGCUUCCAGGGGUGUCCUAGCCACUAAUCUAUCCUAAUCAACCAGAGUGGUAACUACUAGGGAUGUAAAAUCCUAGUUAACUGGUUAAACAAUGUUUAACCGGUUAACUGAUUAAGGGGGGAGGGGCAGGGUUCCUAACUCUCAGGGUUGAAUUGUCAGAUACCAAAUCUAUCAAACCUGCACAUGAUGUAAGCAAAACAAUGUUCUGCCAUUUUUCUGCCCCACAAAUCCUGUGUAUGUGUAGGUAUCAGUUCAGCCACUGAUGCAACUUAAAGCAGCCUCAAGGCUGUUCUAUAUUGCCUAGUCUGUAAAAGUUCCUUCAGGGACAUUAUGCUGGUAGAUUUCAGAAACAUAUCCCUUCUAUCCACACCCCUUCCUAUUCCUUGCCAUCUUCUACACAAGGAAAGAAGAUCUGAGAAAUUUGGUAGAAAUCUGGUGUAGGUUGAACUAAUUCUUAGGACUGUCCACUAAAGAAACACAAACACAGUUUUAAAAGGGCUGAGGAUCUGGUGCAUAUUUAUAUAGCAUUCUUAGAGAACAUAUUUCUCUCAUUCAAACACAUCAUAGCACAACUGCCAAAUUUUGUGCAGCUCCAUCUGCUAUCUUUCUCACUGCUUGAAGAGUGUUGUAUAUAAAGUUGAAAAUGUUAUAUACAAAAUAUUUCAUAUGUAAGUUAAAUAAUUAAAUAUGCACAAUGAAUCACACAGCAGCACAAAACUUGGCAGCUAUUAAACCACUUCCUCAGUUUUGAAUCAUCACUCACCAAACACUUCCAGGUUCAGACUACAACCUCCACACACAACCAUUCAUACUUACAAAAUCUAACUUCAAAACUCUCUCCCAUCCUAAUUUAAUUUGCAUAAAAUGUCAGAUGGAUUUGUACAAAAUUUGGUAGCUAUGGAAUCACCUCCAGCCCCAACAGGAGUCCACCACGACCACCUUGCAUUAUAACAGGCACCUAUGCUGUAAUAUUACUAGUGAGGCGAGGCCCCAUCCCCUACUAACCAUUGCCCCUGGGAUGAUGGGUAAAAGCGAAGCCAAAGUGGAGAAGGUUGCAGUAGUUGAGGUGGGAAAUAAGUAUAGUAUGGAUGAGCAACUUGUCAGCAAAGAGAGAAAAAGGGGAUGAAUUUUAGAGAUAUGUGAAUGGGUAGGCUUUGGUGAGGACCUGGAUGUAAAGAAAGAUGGGAAAAAGUAACAUACUUGAGUAAUGGCAGAGAUGUUAAGUUAUGUGAACUGGACAAUACAGAAGGGAAGAGGAAAGGAUUUACAAGGGAAGAUAAUAUAAAAGCCAUAUCAAAUGUGAUCAUGUUAUUCUGCAUUACGAACACCUAUAUGCUACAUAUUGCCGGGUGCCAACAGAAUAUUACUGACAGAGAGACUGCAAAAGUAAAUGUCAGCAAUGAUAUGUUGUUUGACAUGAUGUCACCAGGAUGAAACAUCCAUAGCAAAGUGUAUGCAAAAACGAGACACAGAUCUGUAUCUUGAAGCAACAUACUUUCCACAUUUUUGUUUAGGUUUUGAAGAACUGCCUUUUGGACUAGUUAACAUCUUUUAGCCAAUUGUUUCAGUUUAAUCCAGAGUACUACCAGUUGGAAGAGCUUUAUGUUACCAAUGAGUAAUGCUGUUUAAUACAAUUUCUCUCACAUAGUCUGCUUGCAGUUUAACACUGUGCUUGUAAUAACCAAUGUUUACUGUCUUAGUGAAUUUGUACUUCCACCUCAUCUCUAAAAGUAUGAUUUUAGUUUUAACCCCAUCAUUCGUGGUAGAAAAUGCAUUGCAGGUUUUUCUUUUCAUUGUAGGCAUUGUCUUUCUGCAUAUUAAUAAAACCAACAACAUAUUGACUUAUUUUGCCGUUUUCUUGAGCUGACUAAACACCAUUAUUGUGACUACAUGCAACAAUUGUAGAAAAAAUUGACAACCAUUUCCUAUGACCUCCCUAAGGAUUUUGCUCUUAAUGUAAGCUCAAUAUUUGUACAUUUUGGUUAUGUCAACACUUGCUGGGGGUAGAGGGAUGACUGUUUACAAAGCUUGCCUAGAAAAUUAAAUAUUUACUACAGCUGUGCUCAGCAGCAAGGGAAACCCAUGAGUAGUUAGCUCUGCUUUUGUCAAUCUAAGCAUACCAAUGACAUCUAUGCUACAUAUAAGGACCCCAACUUCCAGAGCUGUUGAGCACCUCCCAACUCUACUUCAAUUGAAGUUGUGGGCAUUCAACAUUUCUAAAGGUCAGAUCCUAGGAUCUGUGUAAGUUUUCAACACAUGACAAUGGUUUUAGCUGACACACUGCCAUGUCAUCACAUUUAUGUACAAUAUCAAAUGUAAUAAAUAAAACUAAUUCUCCAGUUUCAAUUAGAUCAAGAUUUAAUUUACAAAAGAAAUAUAACUAUAUUAUUAGAAUUAAAAGCAAUAGUUGCUUUAAUGUGAUUGAAUAUAAAAGCCUAAACAAUUCAGAAGUCUUCCUGGGACAAUUUUCCCUUGCCUCAAGUAUAUAAAGAUAAUCCAUCUCUAACCAUUUCUUGGAUCUAGCGGCCUGUGCCCAGUAUAAAUGUUCUCUUUUAUAUUAAAAAAACCCACACCCCUAAAUAUAGUACAAUGUUAAGAGAACAAAUGAAAUGUUGUUUGAAGUGGGAACUGGCCCUUUUUACUGAAUCUGUUUUAACGUCUACAAGUAAAGGUUUACGAUCUUCUCAUCCAAAGCAACCAGUAUGUGUGCUUUCUUUUCUCAGUUCUUAUUAAGUUAUCAUUCUAGUAUUGCCAGUUUUUCUCCCAUAAUGCCCAAUGUGACUUUUGAAAUUACUUAUCGUCUUUUUCCCUUUUUUUGUACAGGUGGGACAGGGACACGCGGAAUGGUCUAUCACUCAGGCAUCCUCAAACACACGAGUCUAUUCAAAAAGGUAUAGAAAGAAGGCAUAGAAAACAAAAAUAAGCAGGAUUAAGUCUGUGUCUAAUCUGCUUUUAUUCAUGAAUAUUCUUUAGAGAAAAUCAACACAAACUCCAAAGAACUCUGGAUCAUGGUAGUUUCUAUAUUUUAGGAAAGUCAAGUCAUAGGAGAAUCAUAAGGCUGCAUAUACAUUUCAAGAUUUUAGCAUUUUGUGUCUAUGUGUUUAACUGAGUAUCAAAAAGGCCACAAACUAAUAGUUGUAUUUGCUCAAACACUGAACGCAAUAUUUGAAGAGUGAUUACUCAUAAGAAUAUUUAACUGGAACAGCCCCUCUAAUUAUUAUCAUUUCCCAUCUAAGUCAAGUCUAUUUCUAAGUUUUUAAAGUGUGGGUAAAUCUCUGUAUUUUUAAUGCUUGAUCUGAAGUUGCACCAACACAUUUCUGUGCAUUAGUCUGUACAGGAUCUUUUUUAUUUCCUCGUUAUAUAUACACAGUAGUAUCUGCAUUCAGAUACACAAAUGUUGAAAACUGAUGAUAAAAGGCUGUUUGUUAGAUAUACUCCAAAAGCCAAAUCCUGUGUAAGCAGUAAACAAAGAUAAAUGGCAUUUUAUUCAAAGACAUGAGUAGAAUAACAUGUUCACAAAUCCUAUGUGAACAGAUGUUUAAUUGCUUCCAUAGUAAUUAAAAAAUCUAAACAUUUAUGUUCACAGCUGUCUUCUCAUGAGCCUUUUUGUAAGGAUCAGCAUUUACAGCAUUUGCUGGCAGAUUCUCAGAUACAGCAGAUGUCAGAGCUGAGAAUUUUGCUAUUGUGGUGUUCUUAAUUCUCUGUUGCAUCAGUAGACAGUCAAGACUGGAUUUUGC